AGAGUUUGAUCCUGGCUCAGAAUGAACGCUGGCGGCGUGCUUAACACAUGCAAGUCGAACGAGAAAGUUUCCUUCGGGAAGCGAGUAGAGUGGCGCACGGGUGAGUAAUACGUAGAUAAUCUACCUUCGAAUUUGGGAUAACAUCGCGAAAGUGGUGCUAAUACCGGAUAAUAUUUAUGGAGCUUCGGUUUUGUAAAUCAAAGAUGGCCAAUUCUUGAAAGCUAUUGUUUGAAGAUGAGUCUACGCACCAUUAGCUUGUUGGUGGGGUAAAAGCCUACCAAGGCUACGAUGGUUAGCUGGUCUGAGAGGAUGAUCAGCCACACUGGAACUGACACACGGUCCAGACUCCUACGGGAGGCAGCAGUGAGGAAUUUUGCGCAAUGGGGGAAACCCUGACGCAGCAACGCCGCGUGAGUGAUGAAGGCUCUUGGGUCGUAAAACUCUGUCAGUAGGGAAGAAGUUGUUUAUGGUUAAUACCCAUAGGCAUUGACGGUACCUACAAAGGAAGCACCGGCUAACUCCGUGCCAGCAGCCGCGGUAAU
rnacentral:rRNA from 1 species